rnacentral:rRNA from 1 species
AUUGAACGCUGGCGGCAGGCCUAACACAUGCAAGUCGAGCGGUAACAGGAAAUAGCUUGCUAUUUUGCUGACGAGCGGCGGACGGGUGAGUAACGCGUAGGAAUUUGCCCAGUAGUGGGGGAUAGCCCGGAGAAAUUCGGAUUAAUACCGCAUACGCCCUAAGGGGGAAAGCAGGGGAUCUUCGGACCUUGCGCUAUUGGAUAAGCCUGCGUGAGAUUAGCUAGUUGGUGAGGUAAGGGCUCACCAAGGCGACGAUCUCUAGCUGGUCUGAGAGGAUGAUCAGCCACACUGGAACUGAGACACGGUCCAGACUCCUACGGGAGGCAGCAGUGGGGAAUCUUAGACAAUGGGGGCAACCCUGAUCUAGCCAUGCCGCGUGAGUGAUGAAGGCCCUAGGGUUGUAAAGCUCUUUCAGCUGGGAAGAUAAUGACGGUACCAGCAGAAGAAGCCCCGGCUAACUCCGUGCCAGCAGCCGCGGU